AUUGAACGCUGGCGGCAGGCCUAACACAUGCAAGUCGAACGGUAGCACAGAGAGCUUGCUCUCGGGUGACGAGUGGCGGACGGGUGAGUAAUGUCUGGGAAACUGCCUGAUGGAGGGGGAUAACUACUGGAAACGGUAGCUAAUACCGCAUAACGUCGCAAGACCAAAGAGGGGGACCUUCGGGCCUCUUGCCAUCAGAUGUGCCCAGAUGGGAUUAGCUAGUAGGUGGGGUAACGGCUCACCUAGGCGACGAUCCCUAGCUGGCCUGAGAGGAUGACCAGCCACACUGGAACUGAGACACGGUCCAGACUCCUACGGGAGGCAGCAGUGGGGGAUAUUGCACAAUGGGCGCAAGCCUGAUGCAGCCAUGCCGCGUGUAUGAAGAAGGCCUUCGGGUUGUAAAGUACUUUCAGCGGGGAGGAAGGCGAUAAGGUUAAUAACCUUGUCGAUUGACGUUACCCGCAGAAGAAGCACCGGCUAACUCCGUGCCAGCCGCCGCCGUAAAAC
rnacentral:rRNA from 1 species